UGGGGAAUAUUGCACAAUGGGCGCAAGCCUGAUGCAGCCAUGCCGCGUGUAUGAAGAAGGCCUUCGGGUUGUAAAGUACUUUCAGCGGGGAGGAAGGCGAUAAGGUUAAUAACCUUGUCGAUUGACGUUACCCGCAGAAGAAGCACCGGCUAACUCCGUGCCAGCAGCCGCGGUAAUACGGAGGGGGCAAGCGUUAAUCGGAAUUACUGGGCGUAAAGCGCACGCAGGCGGUCUGUCAAGUCGGAUGGGAAAUCCCCGGGCUCAUCCUGGGAACUGCAUUCGAAACUGGCAGGCUAGAGUCUUGUAGAGGGGGGUAGAAUUCCAGGUGUAGCGGUGAAAUGCGUAGAGAUCUGGAGGAAUACCGGUGGCGAAGGCGGCCCCCUGGACAAAGACUGACGCUCAGGUGCGAAAGCGUGGGGAGCAAACA
rnacentral:rRNA from 1 species